GAUGAACGCUGGCGGCGUGCCUAAUACAUGCAAGUCGAGCGAAUGGAUUAAGAGCUUGCUCUUAUGAAGUUAGUGGCGGACGGGUGAGUAACACGUGGGUAACCUGCCCAUAAGACUGGGAUAACUCCGGGAAACCGGGGCUAAUACCGGAUAACAUUUUGAACCGCAUGGUUCGAAAUUGAAAGGCGGCUUCGGCUGUCACUUAUGGAUGGACCCGCGUCGCAUUAGCUAGUUGGUGAGGUAACGGCUCACCAAGGCAACGCUGCGUAGCCGACCUGGGAGGGUGAUCGGCCAGACUGGGACUGAGACACGGCCCAGACUCCUACGGGAGGCAGCAGUAGGGAAUCUUCCGCAAUGGACGAAAGUCUGACGGAGCAACGCCGCGUGAGUGAUGAAGGCUUUCGGGUCGUAAAACUCUGUUGUUGGGGAAGAACAAGUGCUAGUUGAAUAAGCUGGCACCUUGACGGUACCUAACCAGAAAGCCACGGCUAACUACGUGCCAGCCGCCGCGGUAA
rnacentral:rRNA from 1 species